rnacentral:rRNA from 1 species
AACAGGGAUUGCCCUAGUAACGGCGAGUGAAGCGGCAACAGCUCAAAUUUGAAAUCUGGCUCUUUCAGGGUCCGAGUUGUAAUUUGCAGAGGGUGCUUUGGUGUUGGCGGCGGUCUAAGUUCCUUGGAACAGGACAUCGCAGAGGGUGAGAAUCCCGUAUGUGGUCGCCUGCCUUCGCCGUGUAAAGCCCCUUCGACGAGUCGAGUUGUUUGGGAAUGCAGCUCUAAAUGGGAGGUAAAUUUCUUCUAAAGCUAAAUACCGGCCAGAGACCGAUAGCGCACAAGUAGAGUGAUCGAAAGAUGAAAAGCACUUUGGAAAGAGAGUCAAACAGCACGUGAAAUUGUUAAAAGGGAAGCGCUUGCAGCCAGACUUGCCUGCAGUUGCUCGCCUGGGCUUUUGCCCGGGUUACUCUUCUGCAGGCAGGCCAGCAUCAGUUUGGGCGGUCGGAUAAAGGUCCCUGACACGUAUCUCCCUUCGGGGUUAACAUAUAGGGGGGACGUAAUGCGACCAGCCCGGACUGAGGUCCGCGCAUCUGCUAGGAUGCUGGCGUAAUGGCUGUAAGCGGCCCGUCUUGAAACACGGACCAAGGAGUCUAACAUCUAUGCGAGUGUUUGGGUGUCAAGCCCGAGCGCGUAAUGAAAGUGAACGGAGGUGGGAACCCCUCGGGGCGCACCAUCGACCGAUCCUGAUGUCUUCGGAUGGAUUUGAGUAAGAGCAUAGCUGUUGGGACCCGAAAGAUGGUGAACUAUGCUUGAAUAGGGUGAAGCCAGAGGAAACUCUGGUGGAGGCUCGCAGCGGUUCUGACGUGCAAAUCGAUCGUCAAAUUUGGGCAUAGGGGCGAAAGACUAAUCGAACU